rnacentral:rRNA from 1 species
AAUAGAUACCCGGGUAGUCCACGCCGUAAACGAUGUCGACUUGGAGGUUGUGCCCUUGAGGCGUGGCUUCCGGAGCUAACGCGUUAAGUCGACCGCCUGGGGAGUACGGCCGCAAGGUUAAAACUCAAAUGAAUUGACGGGGGCCCGCACAAGCGGUGGAGCAUGUGGUUUAAUUCGAUGCAACGCGAAGAACCUUACCUGGUCUUGACAUCCACAGAACUUGGCAGAGAUGCCUUGGUGCCUUCGGGAACUGUGAGACAGGUGCUGCAUGGCUGUCGUCAGCUCGUGUUGUGAAAUGUUGGGUUAAGUCCCGCAACGAGCGCAACCCUUAUCCUUUGUUGCCAGCGGUUAGGCCGGGAACUCAAAGGAGACUGCCAGUGAUAAACUGGAGGAAGGUGGGGAUGACGUCAAGUCAUCAUGGCCCUUACGACCAGGGCUACACACGUGCUACAAUGGCAUAUACAAAGAGAAGCGACCUCGCGAGAGCAAGCGGACCUCAUAAAGUAUGUCGUAGUCCGGAUUGGAGU